rnacentral:rRNA from 1 species
GUGCCAGCCGCCGCGGUAAUACGGGGGGGGCAAGCGUUGUUCGGAAUUACUGGGCGUAAAGGGCUUGUAGGUGGCCAACUAAGUCAGACGUGAAAUCCCUCGGCUUAACCGGGGAACUGCGUCUGAUACUGGAUGGCUUGAGUGUGGGAGAGGGAUGCGGAAUUCCAGGUGUAGCGGUGAAAUGCGUAGAUAUCUGGAGGAACACCGGUGGCGAAGGCGGCAUCCUGGACCAUUACUGACACUGAAAAGCGAAAGCCAGGGGAGCAAACGGGAUUAGAUACCCCUGUAGUCC